CAUAUAUAAUAUAUAAUAAUGUGAUUUAGUCCAUGGAUUAUAAUGUAAUGUAAAGAUACCUAGCGGUGUGAAAUUAUUUUCCAUACUUUCAGAACUUAAGACCCCUGUCUGGUCAAAUUUACCUCCGUUUUGAUAAUCAAGGUUUAACUUAAUCCAUGGGUCACUGAAAGAUGAUGUCGAUUAACACUGCAAUUUGAAUGUUCAAUUACCUGUAAUAUUAUUUGCAGACGGUUAGCUAUAUCUACAACAUUAACACCAAACUAAAUCAGAUCAGACAAUAAACAAUUUGGUCAUUUUUCUACGAAGCGUCGAGACCAUCAAAAGUUAACUAAAGGCGAUUAUAUUGACAUCCUCGGGUCCAAACAAGAUAAAUCAUUAAUAGUGGUUGCAAAACAACUGGCUUGAAUAAGAACAGCCUGGUCCAUAUCGAAUGCACGCAUAAUAAGCGAUCUGCGUGGGGAAAUAAGCCACAACUCUAAGAAUAUUUAGAAAUAAGCAUAUCACUGUAAACCUUAACAUAUGCAAACACACAGCAAGCAGUUUGCGUAAGACUCGUUAGAAGGAUUGGCCAAUCCGCCUGACACAGGAAGUGCCAUUGAGGUAACAUCAGUUUAGAAACUAACAAUGCAUUACAUGCUCCCAAUGCGUACACCCAACUUUACUUUUUUCAUUACUGUCAGCUGUGUGACAAAAAGUGAGUUCAAAACUGCUAAUUUAAAUGAGAAAAGGACUUUGCAUCUUCUUGUGGAUGAACAGAAGAUCUGAGGACACCUGCUAACCAGGCUACAACGAUUAUUACUAAUUCAAAAGAGCAAAAGAGAUGGCUUCGAUGAGACAGACUGGGUACCACCAGCUGCAGCUGGCUGGAUCUGUCUUCCCAGCUUUGACACAGAAUGAAACCACCUCCUAUUGCCUGAGGUUAAACAUUGUGCCCCUGGGAGAGGUAUCUGUUCUCACAUGGUCUGUUUCCAUCGCAAUAAUAUGAUCAUGAUCAAGGCUGGACUCUGAGACUUAGAACCAAGAAUACACUAUAAUAUGGAGGGAUGGUGGUUAGCCAAUGGCUGCCCAUUGAUGCAUUGCCAGUUUGUGGGACUCCAUAGCUAUAUACUCUUACUGUAGCCAAUGGGACUAUAAGUUUAGAGCAAUUGAAGAAGUUAGGUUUUGAUAUAGUUUCGAAUACAUUUCAAGAAAAAUAAAAACAGGAGCGUGUGCUGAGCAGAAUUAAGUGCCAUUUCAAACACCUCUUGUCCAUGAUGCAAACACUUCCUGUAGGUGUCUGCUUGUACUGCAUGCCUGAUGAAUACAUUGGUCCCGGUUUUCCAGUUCAUAUGGGCCAUGGUGUGAGCGGCCACUAAAAUGACAGGUGUCUUCUUGUGAAAGUUUAAUCCUUUUAAUUCAUGUGUGGCUGUGUAUCAUGGCAGAUAGUGAGCCUGCCUUGUAAGGUUGCAGCUGCAUGAGGUGGCAGUUUUGUGUCCAGCCUAAAAGUAAACCUUUUUUGUUAUGCAAAACACCUUUUUUCUUUUGCAGCAGAAGGCAGUAAAAUGCAAAUGGGACAAUGAAAACAAAUAUGGAUAUUGCAACAAUUGUAUUUUGCUGCCAUCUACUGCAAAAUAAAACUUUUCUCCAAAGAAUCAUACGAUUUUUGUUGCUGUUACCUUGCUUGAGGUAAUCAUUUAACUGAGAAAGAUAGCAAGUAUAACAUAUAAGCAUGCAUAAUAGCAGGCAAGCAUUUAUUGAUUAUAGCUUAUGAAUGUUUGACAGGUUCAGUUUUAUAAUUGCACGCAUAAACAUGGGCAUAUAAUAAGAACGACUAGAACGAGUCCAUGCAAUAAUCAAACAGUGUACAAGAGCAAAAUAGACUGAAUGAGAUAUUAAUUUUUUUGUACAGGUAUUUGGAAUUUAAUUCAAGAAUGCAAAUUCUUAUUUAAAAAAAACAAAAUAUGUGAUCCAGUCGCCCUUGCACAUUGAUUGGUGAUUGUAUGUAAUCAUUCUAGUCAUUCUGCCAUAAGUUCUGCUUUAUGAUGAGAAAGAGAAAAUAAUGGCACAUUGUCAUGAAUGUUUCAACACAUCGGCCUUGAUCUGGGAACCAGGUACUUCAAAUGAACUAAUAUAUCAAUGACUCAGUAUUUGAAAUCUUUCUGAACCCAGUGAAUUGCAUGGCUUCAGUUAGCUUUUCUGUGAAAGAUUGGCUAUAUCAUGCACAGUAACCCUUUGUAGAUUAUUCUGUUUGCUUAUUUUCAGAAUUGUACUAAUACCCACUUUACUGGCUCGACUGUUCAAGAUUAAUCAUUACAUCAAGGGGCAGUUAGAUAUAGUAACAGUAUUAAGUCUCAGAGUUUGUGGUGCUUAUCGGAGUGAUGAAUGUUAAUUGCUGUAAACAGUUUUAUCCCAACAAAUACAAAAUGGUUCUUUUGCAGGGGAUGUCUUACUGAUAUUAUGUUUGUUUUAAAGGGAGAUAUACUCGCACUGCUUCUUAUGUAGUGGUCCAUGCCUAUACAGUGUGAGUUCUUGGUAGGCACUCAGAUACAGUUUUCAUUCUGCCAUGACUACAGUUCAGUUAUGUGUUUUGACUUCAAACUGUAAUCUCCUCAUGAACUUCAGCAGGAAAAUGGCUCUGUGGAGUCGCACUAUCAAUCUCAGCAUUUGCGUCUCUGGGCUCCAAAAUAAACAGGUACUGUUUCCUCUUGAGAAUAUACUGAUGCCAGGAAUUUUUCCAGAGUGCUGAAAAUUCCCACGCCUUACUGAUGUCCAUCUGCACAGUCAUGUGACCACCAAAAUCUCCUCCACGGUACUAUGGGGAUGUGUAUCUCAACCCAGAGCAGCAACAGCUGUCUGGCAUAUGCAAGGAACUGCACUGACACAGGUGGUCCGUUUUCAAAGUGUAUUACUGACAAACAUGAUGAGGAGAUUCAAGACCCUAAGAUGUACCACAAAUUAUAGCCAUUAUUUCACACAUUUUGCCUUUCCAAAUGGGAGAGGCCUUUCCUGUCUUGUGAUACUGUUGACCCGAA